rnacentral:lncRNA from 1 species
AGCCAGAAGAAAAAGAAGGAGAACAUUGUGUUGUGUGCAUGCGUUGAGUGUGAGAGAGGAGAAAGAAGAGAAAGCUCGCGUUGGAAGAGCAGAAAGAAUAGAAAACUCAGCUCAGAUGAGGAUCCAUAGGAGUGUAUUGUUGUUACUAUGGUUUCUUUCUAUAAUAUUUGUUACAACAGUCCCCGUAUUCGGUUACAAUGCUAUGAAGAUGAAGAAGACGAAGCUAUAUUCGGUUACGUUGAAGUUGUAUCCGAUUCCAGGCGAGAAUACUUGAUGUAUUCAGUUGCAGUGGCUCAUAUUCGAUUACCCAACCCCUCC